UCUCUGGCAUCUUGAAUUUAGGGCCCUUCAGUUUCGCAUCUGGACCUUCAAUAUUCACAUCUGGAACAUCAACGUCCACCUUGGGUCCUGAGACGUCAAGGUCAGCCUUGGGCAGGUUCACAUCCACAUCUGGGCCCUCUCCUUUGAAGCCAGGCAUGCUGAACUUGGGCAUUUUCACCUUGGGCAUCUUCAGGUGCCAGUCUGGGCCUUGAACGCCCACAUCCGGGACAUCAAUGUCCACUUGGGGACCCCUGAUGUCAACUUCAGGGCCCUUGAGGUCACCUUCCACUUUG
rnacentral:lncRNA from 1 species